ACACAUGCAAGUCGAACGGAGCACCCUUGAUUGAGGUUUCGGCCAAAUGAUAGGAAUGCUUAGUGGCGGACUGGUGAGUAACGCGUGAGGAACCUGCCUUUCAGAGGGGGACAACAGUUGGAAACGACUGCUAAUACCGCAUGACGCAUUUUGAUCGCAUGGUCGAAAUGCCAAAGAUUUAUCGCUGAAAGAUGGCCUCGCGUCUGAUUAGCUAGUUGGUGAGGUAACGGCCCACCAAGGCGACGAUCAGUAGCCGGACUGAGAGGUUGACCGGCCACAUUGGGACUGAGAUACGGCCCAGACUCCUACGGGAGGCAGCAGUGGGGAAUAUUGGGCAAUGGGCGCAAGCCUGACCCAGCAACGCCGCGUGAAGGAAGAAGGCUUUCGGGUUGUAAACUUCUUUUAAGUGGGAAGAGCAGAAGACGGUACCACUUGAAUAAGCCACGGCUAACUACGUGCCAGCAGCCGCGGUAAUACGUAGGUGGCAAGCGUUGUCCGGAUUUACUGGGUGUAAAGGGCGUGCAGCCGGGCAUGCAAGUCAGAUGUGAAAUCUCAGGGCUUAACCCUGAAACUGCAUUUGAAACUGUAUGUCUUGAGUGCCGGAGAGGUAAUCGGAAUUCCUUGUGUAGCGGUGAAAUGCGUAGAUAUAAGGAAGAACACCAGUGGCGAAGGCGGAUUACUGGACGGUAACUGACGGUGAGGCGCGAAAGCGUGGGGAGCGAACAGGAUUAGAUACCCUGGUAGUCCACGCUGUAAACGAUGGAUACUAGGUGUGCGGGGACUGACCCCCUGCGUGCCGCAGUUAACACAAUAAGUAUCCCACCUGGGGAGUACGAUCGCAAGG
rnacentral:rRNA from 1 species